rnacentral:rRNA from 1 species
CCGCGUUCCUAGGUCAGGCGUGAAU